rnacentral:rRNA from 1 species
AUGGAUUCGGGGACGAAGGGCGGCGGAGGUGGGACUUUGACGGCGCAUGUACCCAGGGAGGACGGCGGUCGGAUGCGGGACCAGCUGCGGCUGGUCGGGCACGCCGCUGCGGCAGCGCGGCGUGGGGCUUGCGGUGCCGGAGCAGAUGGCGCGGAUGCGGAGAAUCGCCGCUCAGCUGAACCACACUGCACUUCAGCUUAUGAAGGAGGAGAUUGCUCUGCUGUGGCCCUGUGGGGCUUCCAGGACGAAGUGGAAGGCUUGGAGGAGAAAAUGAAAGAUCUGGAGGCCGUGACGCAUGAUGCUGACGAUAGGCUGCGCCGAGGAGAAAUAGAUGGGGCAGCAGUUGGGCGGUGGCUCACUAAAUUUAAGUCCGUCGCCUACGAGGUUGAGGAUGUCCUCAAUGAGUUUGAUGCCAAUGAGCUCAUCAAGAAGACCCAAUCAAACCUACGGCGCAUUUCACCAUGCUCCACCUACGGCGCUCCUCCGACCACCGGCUGA